rnacentral:rRNA from 1 species
GACGAACGCUGGCGGCGUGCUUAACACAUGCAAGUCGAACGGAAAGGCCCCUUUGUGGGUACUCGAGUGGCGACCGGGUGCGUAACACGUGAGUAACCUGCCCUUGACUUCGGGAUAACUUCAGGUAACUGGGGCUAAUACCGGAUAGGAAUCCUUGCUGCAUGGUGGGGGUUGGAAAGCUUCGGCGGUUUUGGAUGGACUCGCGGCUUAUCAGCUCGUUGGUGGGGUAGUGUCUUACCAAGGCUUUGACGGGUAGCCGGCCUGAGAGGGCGACCGGCCACAUUGGGACUGAGAUACGGCCCAGACUCCUACGGGAGGCAGAAGUGGGGAAGAUUGCACAAUGGGCGGAAGCCGGAUGCAGCAACGCCGCGUGCGGGAGGACGGCCUUAGGGUUGUAAACCGCUUUCAGCAGGGGCGAAGCUUGUGGUGACGGUACCUGAAGAAGAAGCACCGGCUAACUACGUG